rnacentral:rRNA from 1 species
UACGAAGGGUGCAAACGUUAUUCGGAUUUAUUGGGCGUACAGGGUGCGCAGGCGGCAAGUUAAGUCAACUGUUAAAUCUCCCAGCCUAACUGGGAAUCAGCGGUAGAUACUGGCAUGCUAGAGGGUGGAAGAGAGAAGUGGAAUUCUUGGAGUAGCGGUAAAAUGCGUAGAUCUCAAGAGGAACACCGAUGGCGAAGGCAGCUUCUUGGUCCACAUCUGACGCUCAUGCACGAAAGCGUGGGGAGCAAACAGG